ACAAGAGGGCUAUCAGUUGGCAGCACUUGCAGUAGCUGGGGGAUAAGUCCUUCAGUCCUGAAGGAGCAUCUGGGCAGCUCAUCACAGAAUCUACAAUGGUCCAUCUUUUGUGCCACUCAAAUCCACUUCUUAUAGGUUCUGGAAGCAGCUCCUCCCCAUGACUGCUUCAUUUUCCAUUUACUGUCAAAAUUGACUAAAUGGGUACCAAGGGACACCCAAGUAAAUUACCUGGUGCCAAAGGCACUCCUCCCUGCCCCUGACUGACAGCAGCCGUACCUCCUCCCUGCUGAUUAGGGUCACUUACCCCUGCCAGGGUAGUGAGCCACUUCUUGAUUUCUGGCCCCUUGGCACAAAAAACCCAAAGUGCCCUGGUGGCAGCUGCAGCUUAGAAUUCAAUGGGACUCCCUGUGAUCUCUGGGAGGACUUCCCCUUUAGAGAACUAGGACUUCUAAACACACAGAGCUCAGUGCUUCAGAAAUGGAAGCAAGAACUCCCCAAGAAGGUCACAGAGUGAUGGUAUGUGGAGCUUUCUAGACCCACGUAUUCUACCCACAGGGGAUGCAACCCCUUCAAAGGGGAACCUGGGAUGCACAGAUGAGAUUCUGCACACACAACUCAAGACUGGAGCAGCAAUAGUUUAACUAACAUCAUUUAAUGUGUAUCACAACAUUUUUGGGAAAGGUUCCUCUGGGAGCACAAUACACUGUCCUAAGUAGGACUCUGAAGUCAUCUUGUAUUCUGAAAAGGUGCAGGUGUGCUCCCUGCUCAGGUGACAUUGAGCUGCAAGCUUCUCCAUGGUUUAUACCUUUUUCUACAUACUUCUAUGGCUUCCUAUUGUACACACUCAUUCCCUCUCUCUCUUUCACACACGCACACACACACACACACGCACACGCUCACAAACACACACUAGCAAUGGAGUAGAGUUUGACCCCAGCCUGCUACCUAGGGUUGAGACUUCCGUUUGAGCCCCAGCCCCUCUCCGGGGGUUGCUCUACCCUGAGCAAACCCAGGCCAUUCCUUAGGGUGUCGAGAAAGCAAGGAAGGGGCUGGCUGUUAGAGUCUUGAGAAAGCCAUUGGAGAAGAAAACACAACUUUCCCACUUGGUGACAAGAUUUUCUGCUUUCUAUUUUAUUAGAUGUCUCAGCUACAAGGAAAAACACAACAGGCCUUAGUUGAGUCUCAUUCAGAGUAGAAUUAAGAGGCCUCCUGUGUAAUUUUCUUCCAGGGCCUUACAGGCUCCAGCAAUGCCUCUACUUCUCUGCUUCCAGCUUCUUUUUUGCCAAAGCCCCACGGAGCAGAGGCCUCCCAGGCCCCAGCAGGAGAUGACCUCAGCCUCAGCUUUCUCUUCUGAGAGGCUGCUCCUCCUGUCUCUGAGCUGUGGCCCCCUGCACUGGGCUCUGGUGGGGAAGGUGCACUUUUAAGGCUCCAGGUAUUUUUAAUCACUGUGUGUUUAUGGGAACAGGGCACGGGGCUCUGUGGUGAUUUUUCUUUUCUUUUCCUGCAUCAUCUGCUGGGCAGGAGUUCCAGGCUGUAUAUUUAUGGGAGACCCUAGUGGAUUCGGAGAGGACAGUGACACACUGAUCUUCCUUGGGGGCCUAGAGGCUUUUCUGCUCUUCCCAGACUGUUGCCCUGUACCCGGGACACCUUCCAGAGGGAAUCACUGAGCUGUGCAAAGAAGAGGGGGACGUGGUGGCAGAGCCUCUCAAGCACUGGCUUCUAACCUGGGGGGGUCACCCCACUCCUGCAAGUAUGCCCAAAAUGUCUCUUGUGGCACAUCUAUGCCUUCCUCAACCUGGGAAACUGCUAAGCCCGGGGCUACAGAAGGAAGGAUCUGAGAGACAGAGACGCCACCACAGUCCCGGCCACGUGGGAUCACCCAACAAAUACUCAUCAAGUAAACGAUACUCCUGGCUGAUGUGGAUGACCUGUGGCUGACUCUGUAUGUGUGCUUCUUUUCAUUCCAGCCCCACCUACAGCCCAGUGGCCCCCAAAGAAAUGUCAGUGAGCUGCUGUGUGGGCCUUAGAAGCUGGCCUGCACUUGACUGACCUCCUCCCGCCCCAGGCCUUCGGGAUGUUUUUGCAGGGUGCUUACCAGUCUGGGCACAGCCUAGAGCUGUGCCAGUAAUCCUGCUGUUGGCACACAGGUGUGAAAAGAACAGAAAGCAGACAUCACUGUCUGCUGAUUUAAUUUUUGCUCUCAGAGCAGCCAGGAUUGGAUCUGGAAAGCUCCUAAUGGCAGGCCUGUCCCUGGAACAAGGGCAGACGCUGUGAGCUUUACAAAGGAGGCUGACAGGCUGAGACUGACAGGAACCAGCCAGUCGGGACAGAAUCCACUGGGUUUGGCUUCCUUUUCUUUCUUUCCACAGGGGUGGGGGGUAGAACUCAGAAGAACUCCACUGCUGGCCCUGAGGAGCCUGAAGCCAGAAUCGGAGUAGGACACAGCUGGGCAUCCCUUCAGGGGAAGCUGAGCUGUGCGUCGCAAUGGCCAAAAAGUGUGUGUCCUUUUUAUUUAUUCAUGCAACAAACAUUUAUCAUUAAUUCACUCCACAAACAUUUAUUAAGCACUUAUUGUUUGCCUAUUGUGUCUCCCCUGGGGACACAAGGUGAAUUGGUCAAACGCCCACAGAACUUCCCAGAACUUUUGUUCUCUGUUACCCUUCAGCAGGGGCUUGUGCCUGCCCAUGAGAUUAUCGCGCAGAAGAAGACUUUAUGGCCACCGUGUCUACUUGAGCAUUGUGUAGAAUUUGAACCCAGGCCCGAGGUGCCUCCAGAGAUGGCCCUGGAAGACCCCAGUGAAGAGGUGUGGUCCUGUGAGCAUCCUCUCGGGCAAUCUUGGUUGCCCCAGGACCUCUUGGCCUGUUAUAGCACACAGAACCACCCCAUGGAUGACUUCCUGAUGGAUGAUGAUUGUCCUGAUAUCUUGGCUCCGAUGGCAUUGUGCAGCCUCAGCAGGUCACACAGAUACUAAAACCAUGCAAAUCCUACAUGUCAAUGAGGGGAGAGGCGAAGGGGAAAUUGUAAAACAAAAGGGAGCAGAGGUUAUCACUGGUAGAAACACAGAGUGAGAGAAGGCUGCAUGCUAUUUAAUGCAAAGGAAAAGUGGAAGAAAUAGUCACCGGAGCAGAGUUAACACCAGAGCCCACUCUCUAAGCAGAGAGCUCAGGAAAGCCAUCUAAAUUCUGAUGGGAAACAUCCUUACCUCAAUAUAAAACACCUAAUAGAGCUGGGACAAAUAAGGUUCUUGACAAAUAGAUGUUACUUGUAGUAGGAGCAGGGGUUUGGUAACAUCGUCAUCAUCAUCAUCAUCCCCCAUCACAGAGGACAAGAGUUCAUGAAGAUCAUCUCUUCUCUGAAGGCUGGGGUCAGGAAGAGCCUAUCUGCUCCAGUGACAGUGAGAGAGGAGCCUGGCCACAGCAGAGGCCAGGCCUGGCAGUUUCCAUGUGGAGGUUGGAAGAAUUUGAACAUCAAACUGAGCCUUCAUCUACAGUCACUGGGGUGACAUUGGGCAUUGUUGAGAGAACAAACAUUGUGAUUAAAAAUGACACAAAGGGAGCCCUGUAGUGAUAGACGAUUGUGAGUGUUUAAAUGAAGAAGGGGAGGGGUCAAGAAGACUAAUCGGAAAAAAAAAUGAAGUGCUACGUCCUGAUGACAACUUUGUUUUGUUUUGUUCAAAUUGCUUUUAUUACUUAUCAAUGGCAGUUUCUUAUAAAAUUUGAGAUGACAUUCACAA